rnacentral:tRNA from 1 species
GCGGAAGUAGUUCAGUGGUAGAACAUCACCUUGCCAAGGUGAGGGUCGCGGGUUCGAGCCCCGUCUUCCGCU